CCCUUAGAGUUUGAUCCUGGCUCAGGAUGAACGCUAGCUACAGGCUUAACACAUGCAAGUCGAGGGGCAGCAUGGUCUUAGCUUGCUAAGGCUGAUGGCGACCGGCGCACGGGUGAGUAACACGUAUCCAACCUGCCGUCUACUCUUGGCCAGCCUUCUGAAAGGAAGAUUAAUCCAGGAUGGGAUCAUGAGUUCACAUGUCCGCAUGAUUAAAGGUAUUUUCCGGUAGACGAUGGGGAUGCGUUCCAUUAGAUAGUAGGCGGGGUAACGGCCACCUAGUCAACGAUGGAUAGGGGUUCUGAGAGGAAGGUCCCCCACAUUGGAACUGAGACACGGUCCAAACUCCUACGGGAGGCAGCAGUGAGGAAUAUUGGUCAAUGGGCGAUGGCCUGAACCAGCCAAGUAGCGUGAAGGAUGACUGCCCUAUGGGAAAUAAACUUCUUUUAUAAAGGAAUAAAGUCGGGUAUGCAUACCCGUU
rnacentral:rRNA from 1 species